GCUAUUUUUAAUCUUCUUUUCACAGUCUCUCUGCUUCCCCAAUUAAAAUGUGGCCCUGGUUAAAUCCAUCUGAAUCUUCCAGGACUGCAUCAGCGUUGAAAGAUUCAUACUACUCUGUUCACAGGCUUAUAUAAGGAAAAAAACAGUUCCUCAAUUAGUUUUAUGUAAUUUCAGACUGUAAAAUAACAUGGUCUGGCAUAACACAGUCUUUUCAAAAUAUCAUAUGUUUUCUGGAUGGGAAACAUCCUUUGUAUCCUAACACUAACAUCUCCAUUAGCUUUUGUAAAGCAUAUUCUCUAUUUUCAUAGAAUCACAGGAUAGUUCAGGUUGCAAGGGACCUCAGGAGAGCUCUAGUCCAACCUUCUGCUCAAAGCAAGGUCAGCUAUGAGGUCAGAACAAGUUUCUCUGGCUUUAUCCAGUCAGAGAUGUUCUUAUCCUACUACUUUUUUUAUCUGGAGCCACUAGAUCACCCAUGAACUCAACCGCUUCUGUUUUCAUUAAAAUCUAAAACCUAUAGAAGCCUUUAGUAAUAUUAGUGGAAUUAAUAACUCACAGUAUCCAAUACCCCACAGUAUCCUGUACUGCCGAUGCAGAUGUUAGUGUUAGGACAGAAGGAUUUUUUUAAAUAUUGAUUUCUCUCUGUAUUCACAAGAUCAUCCUUGGACCUUCCUAAUACCUUUUUUCUCCCUGUAAAGAAAAUCAGAGAGUGGGUAAAAACUGUUAAGGACCCUGCUGGAGAUAAGCCAACAACCUUUUUCAAGCCAUUGGAGUAUUGCAUAUGUAAGGACAGAGUUAAAGUUAGGAAAUGAAGGGCUGCUUGUCUUGGGUACUGGAAGUCUCCUCCUCCUGGGCUGCUCAGCAGGCUGGGACACAUCAAAGAAGAACCAACAAGAAGGGAAAUAUCCCGUGGUUAAGAUGCUGAUGUUAGUUUGGAGACCUAUUUUGGCAAAUGCUUUUCAUCAGCUCUGUGCCAUGCCUUCCUGUUCAUAAAAUAGAGAUUAAAAUGCUUUUUCCUCGUCUUUUAUCUCCCUAGAUUGUAAGCUUUGUAAGGGUACAUACAUACAGCACCCGUAUGUUAGUGCUUCUUGGUAUAGCUGUAACAUUUAAUCAAAAAAAUGCCUUAUGCCUCUUUGAUUCAUAAAAUGCUGAAUGUGUCACUUAUCUGAGCUAAAGAGGAACAUAUAUUUGUGGAUGACCUUUAACUGGAAAGAGUAAAAGAU
rnacentral:lncRNA from 1 species